rnacentral:lncRNA from 1 species
AAUUCAAAGUUUCAUAAUUCUGAAGUUUGCUGGAUCUGUUACUAAAUGACUAAGCAAUUUAGGGCAAAGAAUUGUACUUCUCUGACAUUGGCUGUGCUUUCUUUCUUGUUUAGAUGGCUUAUUUUGCACAUUUAUGUAAAGCCAAUCAAUGGAUUUAUUGAACUUGAAAAUACUGAACAUAAUGUACAAUUGGAAACGAGCUUCUUGAAUAGUUUUGCUUUGCUGAUGAUUCCCAGGUCAUGCUUUGGAAAUCUCUGAUGUCUCAAAACUGUUUCCUGGAUGUGCUCUGAAGUAUGUGUUACAAUGAC